rnacentral:lncRNA from 1 species
CCCAGACUGAUCCUUUGCAUGGAUUUUGCUGCGCCUGUUUCCAAGGCUUAGAGCUCUUUAGGAGGUCUUGUUAUAAAUAUUCAGAUGUACAGAUUUUUAAUGAAGAGUUCGGUGGAUGCAUUCUAGAGGAUAAAUGGUCUGUGAAUGGAAACUUUUCUUCCUCAGAGUACAUCAACGUAGCAAUUGCUUGUAUGAAAAACUCUCCGAGACUCAAAUAAAGAGCAGCAGGAUGAGCUCCAAGGCCAGUAAGCCACUUGUAAAUACAAGUGGGCAUAGCAGCUUACAGAAGGCAGCCCAGUAUUUGUGCUGUUCUAAAGGCAUUGGGAACCAGCCAGCAGCUGAGCAGCAGCUAUUUGCAGAACUUGAAGAUCUACUCUUCGUUCUGCUUCUCUGCAAUUUGUCUCCAUUCCUAGACACCUGGUUCACACCCCCCAUACUCUGAUGAGCCACUCUUGGGCUACCGUUUCUUACAGCUGGCUGCUUUCAGCUGUUUCAAAUCUGGGCUGGAAUCACCUGGCUUUAAUUUAAGUAGCAAACAAAGGCAGCCUUCCCUAUGGGUGUGCUUUAGUUUCAUUGGGGUUGAGUUCCACAAAGAAGAAGUGCGCUGAGUGUGAUGCUUUAACAAAAGCAGCAUAUGUCCUAACAAGAAAUAAGGUCCUCUGCUGCUUUCUUCAUAUUGCCAUGCUGUCUUCAAAGGGCGCAUGGACAUCCAGGAGAUGGAUGCUCUGCAAAGCACCUAUGCCUGCAGGGAAAGCCGAAGGCGAAGAGCUGUGUCCUGGUGGCUAUUGCUUCUGUAACAACCACUCAGAUGAGAGAAGCUGAGAUCUUCCUGCUACCAUGGAAAGAAUCCUAGGGAAGAAGACCCAGGGAGAAGGGAGUUGAGAGGUGAGCUGUUCCAAUGAGUGCUGUGCGCCAUCACCAAUGCUUCAGAAGGAAGUAUGGCCUGCCCUCAGUCCUCCUCUGAGCCAACAAGAAAAUCAAAUAUACUAUUUUUAAAGGCGGCAACCCGCCAGGAGCUGCUGGGUGCUGUGAGGAUGGGAUGUCCC